GAUUCCCCGGAUCCAGCCCUGGAGGAAUCCAUGGCCCAGGUGAAGGUGCUCAUGGGCAGGUGAGCACACCUGGACACAUCUGGAGUGGGGGAGGGGACGUCAAAGCACACCUGGGACACACCUGGGGGCACCUGGGCACAUCUGGAGAGUGGGAGGGGACAUCAGAGCACACCUGGGACACACCUGGGGGACACCUGGGACAAAACUGGAGACAGCUGGGGGACCUGGAGAUGUCUGGGACACACCUGAGGACACACCUGGGGUGGGGAGGACACACCUGGGGACAUCAGAGCACAUCUGGGACACACCUGGGGACACCUGUCCUACACCUGUCCCUUCCCCCCCCCCCCCCCCCCCCCCCAGUUUCUCAGGGGAGCUCCAGGCCUGGGAUCAGCUCCUGCAGCAGCACCUGCAGCGCUCCCAGGAGGCCUCCAGGGACCUGGAGCAGCUCCGGGCCGGGAUCCCCCCCUGGGCCCCUCCCCCAACGCCCAAAUCCCACAUUUUGGAUUCCAAACCCGACUACGGGGAAAUCCUGACUCAGCAAAAACCCGUCCUGGAGUCCCUGCGGCUGCUGGUGAGGCUGGGGGAGGGGAGGGGAUUUGGGGCAUUUUUGGGGAAUUUUUGGGAAAUUUUUUGGGAUUUUUUUGGAAUUUUUUUCGAUUUUUGGGGAAUUUUUUUGAAUUUUUUUCGAUUUUUUUGGGAAUUUUUUUGAAUUUUUUUUCGAUUUUUUGGGGAAUUUUUUUCGAUUUUUUGGGGAAUUUUUUUGAAUUUUUUUCGAUUUUUUGGGGAAUUUUUUUGAAUUUUUUUCCAGAUCGGAAGAGCGUCCCCCCCCCCCC
rnacentral:lncRNA from 12 species